AACGAACGCUGGCGGCAGGCUUAACACAUGCAAGUCGAACGCCCCGCCAGGGGAGUGGCAGACGGGUGAGUAACGCGUGGGAACAUACCCUUUUCUACGGAAUAGCUCUGGGAAACUGGAAUUAAUACCGUAUACGCCCUACGGGGGAAAGAUUUAUCGGGGAAGGAUUGGCCCGCGUUGGAUUAGCUAGUUGGUGGGGUAAAGGCCUACCAAGGCGACGAUCCAUAGCUGGUCUGAGAGGAUGAUCAGCCACAUUGGGACUGAGACACGGCCCAAACUCCUACGGGAGGCAGCAGUGGGGAAUAUUGGACAAUGGGCGCAAGCCUGAUCCAGCCAUGCCGCGUGAGUGAUGAAGGCCUUAGGGUUGCAAAGCUCUUUCACCGAUGAAGAUAAUGACGGUAGUCGGAGAAGAAGCCCCGGCUAACUUCGUG
rnacentral:rRNA from 1 species